GUAUUCCUGGGGUGUUCGAUAUUCCUGAUAUUUUGAACCUACAUCAAUUUAUAUGGGAAGCUCAUAUUUUCAUGAGGAUGUCAAGCCAUCAUAAGCAGUGGAAGGCAGAGACAUGAGUGCGGCAACCCACCUAGCAUGUGCUAGGAGUCAAAAUUCAGGAAACGGCAUUUUGGGGUAUAU
rfam:Clostridium sp. CAG:411 genomic scaffold, scf230